rnacentral:rRNA from 1 species
UAGCUCACUGGUCGAGUCGGCCUGCGCGGAAGAUGUAACGGGGCUAAACCAUGCACCGAAGCUGCGGCAGCGACACUAUGUGUUGUUGGGUAGGGGAGCGUUCUGUAAGCCGUUGAAGGUGGCCUGUGAGGGUUGCUGGAGGUAUCAGAAGUGCGAAUGCUGACAUAAGUAACGAUAAAGCGGGUGAAAAGCCCGCUCGCCGGAAGACCAAGGGUUCCUGUCCAACGUUAAUCGGGGCAGGGUGAGUCGACCCCUAAGGCGAGGCCGAAAGGCGUAGUCGAUGGGAAACAGGUUAAUAUUCCUGUACUUGGUGUUACUGCGAAGGGGGGACGGAGAAGGCUAUGUUAGCCGGGCGACGGUUGUCCCGGUUUAAGCAUGUAGGCGGAGGUUCCAGGUAAAUCCGGUACCUUUUAACGCUGAGGUGUGAUGACGAGGCACUACGGUGCUGAAGUAACAAAUGCCCUGCUUCCAGGAAAAGCCUCUAA